AUCACUGAUUUGUGGCCAGGCAGGCUCUGCCUUCUGGCUGAGAGGGCCACUGCUCUGUCUCUGGAGCCUUCUGUGGCUCCCCGACACCCUUGGUUCUACCCCAGGCCCCUGGCUGGAGCCCCGGGCACUCACUCUUCCUCCUGCACUCCAGGUGCCCCCGGUUCCCAUCGCCUGGGCCUCUGCUUCUCUGCCGGGAGCAGCAGCUCCUCCUUCCUUCCUGCUGCAGGCCCCGCACGCCUUCCAUACCCAGCUCAAAUGUCAGCCCCUCGGUGCCGACCACGUCUCCCUCCUCUAUGACCACGUCUGACUAGCCGACCUGAUUCAGCAGCCACUCCCCGCGGCUCCCCCACCGUGGGGCCCCUUGCUGGCCAGAGCUGGAGGUGGGGCUGUCACAGGGACUGAAAAAUACAGGUGUGCGAUGUCAGCAAGGUUGGGGGAAUGAGGAGGCUGGCAGGACCCGAAGCUGCGACAUCUGCCUGGAGGCAGGGACGAGGCGGCGUCUGAGCCGAGAGUGCUGCUCCAUGGCCCUGCUCAGCCUGUUGGGGGCUGCGAUGCUCGAACAUGUGAGUCCCGUCGGUGGUCUCGCCCUGGAGGAAGGUGCCGAGGCAGCCAGCUUCGACCACCUCGCGCUCCCCAGCCAGAGGGUCCCGAUCCCUAGAAGUCAGGCAUCUGAUUCCAUCUUUCUUGGACCAAAAUUAGUCCUCAUUCAAGUGCUCCCUCAAGUCAACGAACGCGGGUGCCCGCAGAGCAUGUGGACAGGAAGGCAGCCCCGCGCGGGGGCAGCAGGCUCUGUGGGCGUCAGUGCUUGCCCUCAGGAUGCUCUUCUGGAUUCAGUGCCUGUUUCCAGCAACAAGCCGCCCUGUGGCUGCGGUGAGAGCCUCCAACCUGCCGGCUGUGGCCGGACUUCAGGAUCCCCUCUACUUGAGGGCAGCGACGCAGGUCCCAGGUGCCCAGGGCCAAGACACUCCCCCUGAGAGUGCUUCACAGCUCUCCCAGCUGGUCUCUGCUCGAUCACUCCCAGCCGCGGGGCACUCACUGCCUUGGCAGCACUUUCCUGCGUUGAGGGGCCAUGGCUCUCGGCCGGCCCUUCUGUCUAUGGAGCUGAAAUCUGCUGCCCAGGGUGCCAUCCCCACCCCUCUUAUCGUGGGUCCUACGUCCAGAAGGGUGUCCUGUGUCUCCUCAGUCUGAGCCACCCCCUAAAGGCUGGGUAUGCGUCCUUCCCUAGGACUCCAGCUGAGUGACAGGCCUGUGGGGGUGGAGUCCUGCCCCCCCCCGCCGUCACUUGGCCCUGGUGCCAACCCCUGCUGCCCAGAGCAUCCCGGCUUCUCUCCCGCCCUCACCCUCAGAGGCUCCUCUUGCUUCUGGCCUGGAGUUGGUGGUGGGCCCGGCUGGGCCCUGUCAAUGGGACCUGGGAGGCCGCUGGAAGGGGCCGGACCCUUAACCCCCCAGGUCACCCCUUUCCCAGGGCCUUCCCUUGGGGAGCCAGGCUGGCGGCCGCCCCAGGCCCUGGCCAAGGACAGAGAGGAUGCCACACCACGGAGCGAGGCCAAACAGUGCACCGGCGGCCUGGCCAUGGCUGUCUGGGACCCAGCACCCCAUCAAGGCCCCCAGGCGGAAGUGGGUGGUGCAGGCAGGGGCCAGUCCCAGGGUUCUCAGGACCAGGGUCUCCUCUGAACCUGAGAAAACAGGGCUCCUGGUCACAGAGUGGCCCUCAAUGAUGGGCCUUGCAGACGAAAAUCUGAGCCGAAAGUGAGGUAUGGGCUUGGGGCUCCGAGAUACUGCCAGCCACCCUGUGUCCCUCUGUGGAGCUGGCGGCAGCCAGUCAAUGCGGGCUCCCAGAGAAAACACUCAGACACACAGACACAUGCGGGCAGCACACACCAGCACACCCAAGCACCCCAGAACUGGUUCAGCACAAUAUUUGCUCUGAGCCCAAACCAGACCCCAGGCUGGCUGCAUCCCCUGGGGCCACACAUGGGGAGGGCGGGCUGGUCCCCAGAGAGACCCCCCCCUUCCCCACAGUGCACACAGGCCCGCAGGGAGACCCCAGCCUGGACCCUGCAUGUUCACUGAGGCAGUGGGGGGUGGACAGGACCCUGGACGUGGAGCCUUCUGGAUGUGAGACGGUGGAGCGGCCUGUCUGGGGUCGAGGGAGGGACCCGCAGACCCGGGCAGCCUGGUGCAUAAAGACGAGGCGGCGGCUCCUUUCUGGAAGGCUCCAUCCCAUUUCAGGCAUCCCCUGUUGGGUGUGGCGGCCAGCAGCCCCCAGCCUCACGGGGAGACUGACCACAGGGAAGCCGCCUCACUUUCAUGCCCUCCAAGGUGCACGGGCCCGGCCAUGCAGUGUCUGACCUCAGGGGGCCUCGCCAGGCCCCAAACAGAGAAAGGCUCUGGAUCUUUACGGGAGUCACAGAGCCCUGGGGGCCUCUGGCUGACUCAGCCCACUCAGCUAUCAAAGAGCCCAGGGCUCCCUCAGGUGCGCCCUCUGCACCCACUGUAGGAGCCCCUGUUCCCCGGAAGCACCUUCCAGAGCAGGCAGAGAAAGCCCGGGUCUGCAGAGCCCGAAGGCCCCUUCUAGGAAGGAGAGUCCAGCAGGCUGGUGAGCAUCUCAAGGCCGAGCCGGGAAGCGCCUUUGCUGGAUCCAUGUGCACCUCCACAGGCAGGGCCUGGAGGAUCGGGUCUGAGCUCAAGGCUGCAGGGUCCCCACUCCCAGCCUCCGUCCUGCCCCUUCGCCAGGCAGGGUCCGCCCGGAGGGACGCGCUCUCCUGAUGGGGAAGUGGCCCGGGGCUGUGCCAGGCGCCUUCCAGAAGCGGCUGCAGAGCCCACACUGCUCCGCCGUGUCCAGACCUGCCCUCAACCCCUUGGACCACAAGGUGAGGCUGAGACCCCUGAGCCUCUAGGGGGCCCCUCCUUGUCCCAGACGGAUGCUCUGAGGCCUGUAGACCUAGAGGGCACUGGAUGGACCAGGGCCAGCACACAGAGCAUCCAGCUGGGGAAGCCUGCACCAAUGCACGGGGGAGAUCCGGGAGCUCCCAGACCGGGGCCCUCAGGACGUGAGGACAGCACCCCAGGAGGGCCAGGGUGCCCAGGAUGCUGGGCACGGGUGUGUGCCAGCCCCACCCCAGCCUGGCCAUGGGGAGACAGGACAGAGGGCGGAGGCCAAGCCCAGGAGGCGCAGACUCGUUCUAGUCCACGUUCCUCCACCCCUCAAUCACUCCCUCAGCCAUUCACUGAGUCACUCGUUCAAUUGCUUGCUCACUUGUUAACAUGCUCGUUCACUCACUCACUCAUUCUCUCACUCACUAUUUCAUUAACUCAAUUAUUCACUCACUCAUUCGUUAAGUCCUUCAUUCAUUUGCUUGCUCACUCAUUCACUCAGUCACUCACUCAUUCAUUCAUUGGGUAACACAUUCACUCACUCACUCACUCGCUCACUCACCCUGUACUCAGCCUCAGUGGACACCAGACACUGUUCCAGAUGCUGAGAUAGAGCUGUGAUCAAAACAAACUCCUCUUGUGAGGAGCUUGCGUUCCAGGAGCAGAACCUUGGGACCCCCACCCACGCUUAACACCUGGAUUGUGCCAGGUGUGGCUGUGGGAUGGGGCUUCCCCUCCAUCCUGGGGCAGCCUUGCCUCCAGCUGCGCCCAAGGAACAGAGAAGGACGCCCUCACCAGCUCCGUGCUCCGCUCAGAGCCUCGCUGACCUACCCUGUGCCCCCGCUGUGCACCACCCCCAAGGCGGGCACACACAGGAAGGGGAGACAGGCUCAGGAUGAAUGAGACAGAUCAAAGGCACAGAUAAGGCCACGCAGAGCAGGGUCUGGAAGCAUUUAGGGCCUGGGGAGGAGGGGCUGCCGCCCUGGGAGCUCCAUCUCCAGGCCAGCCUCAGCUGACUGCGCCCGGCUCCCAUCACCAGCACAGAGAAGCCACGCCGGGGUAUGGCACCCUGUCGGCAGGGUGAGGGCAUCCAAAGCCUGCUGUCCAGCUCUGUAGCCAAGUCAAACCCCCACAAGCCCUGGGGGAGCCCCUACCCCCAAGCCUCAGUUUCCCCACCUGUCAAUGGUGCCGUGCCCCCACCGGACCCCCACUGGGUUAGGGGCUCCCACGGAAGUUCUGUGGACAGAUGGGGUGGCCUGGGGAGGGAGUGGGUGGGAGGACAGGGGAUGGAAGGGUGUCGGGGGCUCAGGGCAGAGGCCCAACCUCCCUGGCUCCAUCCCUGGGGCACUUCUGUCCUGGGCAUCCUCUGGGCACUGCUGGGCACCGCUGGGGUGCCUGCCUCCUGCAGACAGCCACCCCUAGGGCCGCCUCUCCUGAGCUGCAGACUCACCUGCAUGUCCGCUCCACAUGCCCUGGAGCCAGAACCACCGCCGCCCUCGCUCGCACCUGGGGCAGCGCCAUCCAGCCACCCCAGCCGGGGUCUGGGGCCCCUUCAUGCCCGCUCUCCCUGGGGCUCAGGUCGAAUCGAGCCCGCCCUCCUGAUGAAUUCUCACCUGUGUCUCCUCUUCCCUGGAAGCUCCUGCCCACGGCCUGCCCACAGGCCGCUGUGCCCUCUGGCCCCCUUCCCCCACCUUCAGACACAUGGGCAUGUUGCACGGCCCACUGUCUCGCCCCGUCUGAGGCCCAGUCCCUCUUUGUCUCUUGCACCUGGAGCAUCGCGCGGGCUCCUGACUCUGCUCUCUGGGGAUCUCCCAGGGCCUGGCUAAGAGGCAGAGUUCUGUCUGUGGGCCAGCCUGGCUGCCCAGCUUGGAAUUCAUGCCUGCCGCCCCAGCACAGCCCAGAGGCUGGAUUCGCCCAGUGCCCAGCACCUACUUCAGGCCACUGUCAUCCUUCUCUCCAGCAACUCCAGCCCCCUCCCAGCCAGUGUCCACUAUGCCCCUUCUGGUCUGCACUUCCUAGGUCCACACCCUCCAUGUGGCCCCCAGAUUCCUGCCCGAUGGACCCUGCUGGCCCCUCCAGGGAGCAGACGCUCACACCCUGGGCAGUGGGAGCCACGGAGAGCUUUCACCCGCGGCCAAGGUGCCGCCACAUCUUCCCUGGGGCAGGGGCUGGGUGUGGGGGCGGGACCUCCUGUGGGCCUCGAUGCCCUGAGCACCCGGGUCCCUCUGUGUGGAUCUGAGCCACAAACUGCUGCCCCCUGCCCUGCCCACCCCCGUCUGCACCCUACCUGCCUCCCUCAUCCUCAUCCUCCUCUGGGCGGUCUCCCGGGUCUCCAGGGACCUGGCGGCCAAGGCUGGCCCUGGCGCCUUCCUGCCCUCCUCCUCAGCCCUCUCGCUGGCUCCAUCCUUGACCCCCAGACGCGCCGUGUCCUCUGCACUUGGCCUGCUCCUCUUCCUGUCCUUGCUGGUGGAUGUCGCCCACCGGCAGAGCUCCAGGUCUCCCCGGCCAGUCCGCUGUCCCCUCCAGUCUUCAGCCCUGAGCCUGACCCAGCAUGUGGCCAAGGGACGUCCCAGGGGACGGCCCACGAGCAGCUCGGUUUCCACCUGUCAGAAUGAGGGGUUCCCUCUCUUCCUCUGGACGAUGGAAGGGGGACAGGUGACCUGUGGGAGGAGCCUGGGUCCCGGAGUCCCACCUGGAGGCCCCGCUGAACACCCACCUGAGCAGUUACGCGAGCUGGAGGAAGGAGGUGGACUGUCUGAGAGGGUAGCUGGCUCCCCUGACGGGUUUCCCCCGCGAGGCCUCGCCAACGGCUCGGUGCGCGGCUGACCGAGCGCUGCAGGCCCCGCAGGCCAGGGCGGCCUGAUCCGCGGUCGCCGGGAUGGGUGCAGUCACUUCUGUGGCCCUCAGUCGGCGUUGUCAGUCACACAAGUUCUUAAUUUUUUCUUCCUAAGGCUACUUUUUCUUGUGUUUUAUAAAAAGGCUGAGUUUUGUGUUUUUUUUCAGGCUAUGAAAAUAAUGUAUCUUUGCAGAAUGCACCUUGGACGGUGGCGAAGGAAACUGGAGAAGAAGAAAUACUGCUCAGAACACGGAGGUGAGUGAGGCCUCCUACCAGUGCCGUCUCGGCCCUGUCUCAUCUCCGUCACUCGAGCGGUGGUUCCGGCAUUUGAAACGUUGGGGUGAGGAGGGGGCUGACGGCAGGCAGACAAUGGAACUCGGGGUUAUGACUGAGUUACUCGACGGAAGGGCCAUGAAAACCCGAGGGCAACGCGCACACGCUAGGGACUUGAGCAAGAAAGCAGUCCCUUGUGGCUCCCAGAGAGAGGUGAGCUCCAGGGUGACCAUCAGGUGUCCAAGCUGCUGGUGCGGGGCUGCCGCCACGGCCCUGCUCAGGAAAACCUGGGACCCCAACGGUGGAGCCGGGACGGCUGGAUGGACGCCCCCAGGAUGCUGAGUUUCCAGCCUGAGCCUGACGGGCGCUCUGAGUCUGCGUGGAAGCAGACCCCUUCCCUGUGAGGAGCCGGGUCCUUUCCUGGCUUCCAAGCCUGCUGCAAGCCUGGCAUCACCGCAUGACCCAGCCUGCAACCUGUGAGACCUUACCAGAGGGGAGGGAGAGUCAGACAGGGACAGACGGCGAGGACACGAGCCCUGAGUAUCAGCAGUGGGAGGGUGACACCCACGUGGCUGAGCGUGUAGGGGAGCAGGGGCUCGCCCGGCCGCGAGGGCCGACGGGACGCGCACUGCCAACCAGGCUGGCGGCUCCCGUUUCCUAUAAAUCCGUUUACGAUGCUGUUUUAGUUUCCGGUGUGCAGCAAAGUGAUUUAGGUAAAUAUAUGCUUUUUGUACUCUUUUCCAUUACAGGUUAUCACAAGAAACUGAAUACAGUCCCCUGUGCGGUCCAGCAGGUCCCUGCUUUUGGUGUGUUUUAUACGUACGAGUGUGUAUCUGCUGAUCCCAAGCUCCUACUGUAUCCCGCUCCCCUCCUUUCCCCCUUGGUAACUGCAAUUUCCGUUUCUAUGUCUGUGAGUCUCUCUCUUUUGUAUCAUUUUCUAGAUUCUACAUGUAAUUGAUACCAUAGGCUGUCUGUCUGUCUCUG